CCCCACCCUGCAGGUCCCGGCGCGCUGGAGCGGCGGCUUCUCCAGGCGGCGGCCGAAGGCAACCUCCAGCUCUUCAAGAGGACCGCCAGCGCGCUGGACGGCGGCAAGGGCCGCCUCAGGGACGCGGUGGAGGCCGUGACGCUCCAAGGGCGAGGCUCCGGGGCGCUGCACUUCGCCGCGCGCCGUGGGAGGAUGGCGGUGUGCGUGUACCUGGUCGAGGAGCUCCGCGUGGACGUCGACGCCACCGACGAGACAGGCUAUACACCUCUGGCUCAUGCAAUUAUUGCUGGCACUGUGGACACUUUCCAGUAUCUUCUUGAUCAUGGUGCUAAUCCAGAUAAACCUGAUGGACAAGGGUCUACGCCUCUCCAUUUGGCUGCUGCACGAGGAAAUUGUGAAAUAGUAAAAGCCUUGCUUUCAAAAGGGCAUGUUGAUUCAUUGUGUGAUACUGGAACACCACUGCACACGGCUGCUUUCUGUAGGCAGGAUGGUGCUAUGAAGAUUUUGUUGGACCACCAUGCAGAUUGUAACAAGAUAUUCAACACUGUCUAUUCACCUCUUAUUGCGGCUCUCAAUGUUGGCUCUCUCAAUUGUGUGAAGCUUCUGAUUAAGGCUGGCGCUGACGUGAAGGGUGUUGGCACUAUGUCCCCCUUAAUAAUUGCUGCCAACAAUGGCUUAACUGACUGUUACAAGUGCUUACUGGAGGCUGGUGCAGAUCCUGAUGUUGGUGAUGAUUUUGGCCACCUUCCAAUAGAAAUUGCUGCAUAUAAUAAUAGACGGGAAGAUGUUAAGAUCCUACUUCCAGUAACUUCACGUACUCCAUAUGUGCGAGACUGGAGCGUUGAUGGGAUAAUUCGUUGGGUGAAAUCAAUGCCAUCAGUGGAGAAUGAUCCCAUGAACCAAAUGAAUCCAGCUGAUCUCAAGUUAGAAGGAAGCAAGGCAUAUAAGAGAAAAGAUUAUGCUACUGCAGUCAAACUUUACUCUAUGGCAGCAGACCGCUGCCCUGAUGACGCAACACUGUACUCAAAUAGGAGCCUUUGCUGGCUUAAGAUGGGUGAAGGAGACCAAGCUUUGAUGGAUGCUGGAGUUUGCAAGAUUAGGCGCCCAGGUUGGGCAAAGGCCUGUUACCUGGAAGGAUCUGCUCAAAUGUUACUGAGGGACUAUGAGAAGGCGUGUGAUGCAUAUCUUGAUGGACUCAAACUGGAUCCAGCAAAUGUUGACAUCGAGAACUCAUUACGGGAGGCUGUAAAUUGCUUGAAGACAUCUCAUGCCCCGAAAAAGUUGUAA
rnacentral:rRNA from 1 species